ACAGACUCAAAGGAGACCAUACGCAAGGCACCUCCUCUUCGGUUGUGAGAGUGUCCAGGGGUCGUGGGUGCGGCUAAUGCCUAUAAUUUAUAAUUUCCUGAGCAAUGCACAUGGACGAUAUCUGGAGCGGUCAAGAGGAUGAGCUGAUUUUUGAAAAAAAGUUUGAAGAGGUGCCCAGUUUGUGCUUGCUACCGAAGGAGCUCCAUGUUGAAGAAGAUUGAAGACACUUGUAGAGCUACAGGGUUAACACCAGGGCACCGUAUCACGUGUAGAGCUUGUAGAGCUUUUAUAUGUUAGAGCUUAUUAUGUGUAGAGCUUGUAAAGUAUAUGUUAUUUGUACAAUAGGAGCUCUGUACUGAAUCUGGCUGAUAAUAUUUGGAGUAUUAUGUGUG